GGACCAUAAAGCGUUUUCCCCAAUCAGACUGGAUGGGAGGCAGCUGAGAAAUGAACAUAUUACUGAGGAGGUUAGGUGGUGACAGAUUCCUGAUGCCAGUUUCAUCAGUCAGCUGUUAGCCUUUUCACAUCACUGCAAGGACUCCCGUACGGACUCAGGAGAGGCGAAGGUCGAGAGCCAUGCGUCCUCCGAAACACG